UCUUGUUAGAAGAUACAAAGCCAAAGACUCAUACAGACUUCGGUUACACCAUCAAAGCAUUGAGAAGCA
rnacentral:sRNA from 1 species